GGAAAAUUUUUAAUUAUUAUUUUCAGUUCCAUUCCAUGUACGAAAAGCAAAAACCUCUGUUCUUCACUUCAUCUUCUUCUUUCAAUGGCAGAGCGAGCACGUGGAGGAGCCGCCUACUCGGCGGGUCAACAAAAUUUGCUUUCAAUAGUGGAGUUUCCUAGCCGAUUCCAUUGUCAGCGCUUUGCAUGCGCACCAUCUGUUUGUUUAAAUGCCUUUAAGGUAUACGCCUCACUUUUUCAAGCCUUAGCCAGUUGGUGUUGUGGGUGUGGGUCCAUUUAGAUAAGCUUUAAGAAGUUGUUUCUGUGCGGUUAAAGAUGCCAUGUUUGUGGUUUUGUCUUGAUUUCAAUUAGAUUUAUGUCAGGUUUAUCCAAGAAAACGUAAUAAAUCAAUAGUAAUUCGAAAAUCCAUUUGGAAAUUAUGUGA